AGAGUCUUGUUUCCAGGCGUGGAUGACAGAGGUUUGAGGAAACUGCAGUCUCUGCCGAGGUCCUGACUCCCGAAAAAGACAGAGGAUACCUGCGUCGUUCUUGUGGGUGGAGAAUCUGAAGGAUAACCAGUCAUUUGGAGUGCACGUGGAGAGGUGCAUGCUACGCUGUCCGACCUCUUGGCUCGCAAAACGUCGGCGACCUCUUUGGGAGCAGGACGUAACUGAAGGUCUCACUAGUCCGGAUAUUUCAGUAUUAUCUGAGCUGCGUGCAGCCUCACCUGAGAGGGAGAAGGGAGAGGAGCUGUGUCCACUGGCGCCUCCGUUUUCUUUGCUGCUGAGAGAGGAGGACGAGCUGGGUUUGGAUGUGGAUGCGCUGCUGGAGAACUGAC